rnacentral:piRNA from 1 species
GGGAAAAAGUGAGGUACUGCGAAU